CAACCUAUUCAAUCUAGGAAUUAAACUCCUAAUCCCUUACUAACUUGUAAUACACCUAUUACAAGCCACUUUACAAUACACCUAUUACAAGACUUCAACUCAUGACUAACUCUAGUCAUGAAACACUAAGGGUUUAUGGUUUUACAAAGGGAUUCCUAAGCAGCGCUUCUAGCUAAGCAAAUUAGGAAUUACAAUGAAGAACAAUUACAAAGUUACAACUCAACUAAGGACAAUAAGAUACUAGAUUUAGGAACUGGUCCGUAGUAGUGUUAUACUUUGUUCUUGAUGCACUUGAGAAUUGAAUGCUCGAAUAUGAGAUAGCUUGAAUGCUUAAAGUGAAUGCUCAAGUGUUCAAGUGAUGUUUUGUUGUAAUACUUUUAUUAAUAAAACUUGGAUGACAUCACUUGAAUUAUGUAAUUACUUGGUUGGUCAAAGGACAAGUGAUUGCAGAACUGCUGCACUGUCUUUAUGUACAGUGCAGGCAGUCACUUUCUAUUUGUACACAGUUAACUUUGUACGGCUGUUAGGAAAACACAAGGGAUCAGAUCCCUAUGUUGGUUCUCUAUCUUCUGAAAUUGUAGCAGUUCACAUUUGCUGGAUUCCGUUGAUUUGCAAUGUGUACCAAGUGUGUCACGUUCUCUAUCUGGUUCUUUGACAAAAAGUUUGUUAGAUCAUCAAAACAUAAAGCUAAGAUAUUGAAAAUCCAUUAGACCCACUUAGGCCCACAUAGGCACCGGACCGGCUCACUUUGCCCGUGACACAUGAUAAUUUAGAUAUAGUAUGUCAAGGAAUAUAUGGGGAGUUAUAGAAGAAGGUUUUUAUGACCAGUCCACUAUAACAUCCUUCCCCAGCCAGGAGCUGCUUAGUACUUGUGAACAAUUUUGCUCUAGAAGUGCCACAACUUGUCAUGCUAUAGCGAUGACAAAACGUUUGAGGAUGAAGAUGAGUUGCUCAAUGGAUUAGGUAUAAUUCCAAAACUCAGAACUUCAACUGCGACGCGUCUCUCUGUUUGUGAUAUUUCACUUGGGAAUAGUAGCUAAUGGCCAUGGGCAAAGCCAUAACCCAAUAAGGGUGGUCAACUGAUCACCUUUCGUCGAAAAAUUACAUAGUGUAUAUAGGAAAAAAUUUAGAUUUUAGAGGUAUAUAACAUAUAUUGAAUACAUUUUAUGGAGAAUAUUUUUCACUUUCAAGCUUGAACACCCUUAAUAAAAUUUCUGACUUUGCCGCUGCCGAUGGCGGUAAGAGUUUGGAAGUUUUGGGUCUUCACAGGGUGAUAUAGGCUUGGCAGACCGGAUUUCAUAACUGUGGGAUCAAUUUCAAAGUGAGAAUGGAGCAGUGCACAAAGCAUCAGCUAAAACAGUGAGCAUCAGCAGCACCCCAAAACAACAACUGAGGAAUCAAAUUUCAGUCACUGCAAAUCAAUCCAACAAAAGAACCAGUAAAAGGGGUAAUAGAAGCAGCUCCACCAAAUUAGCUAGACCAGAACUUCCCACACAACAAAAAUCAAUAAUAGUAAAAGAUAGCAAAAUUGAAAAACAUCACCAGUAAUUGAUAAAUCUGAAGUGACCAAUUAAAGCAGCAUAUAAGCAGCCUAGCUACAAUUGAGGUGACAAAAGCUUCAAACGCUCGAGCCCAAUAACUUGUGUCAGAUAGAAAGAGAACAUGGAAUUGGGUACAUCCGAACGAGAAUAUUAGCUAGGGCACAAGAAUGCUUAAAUAGCCAAAUAGUAGCACCAAUGUAGUAUGCCAAAUUUUGUAGAAACUUCCUCUCUCUCG
rnacentral:lncRNA from 1 species